UGGGGAAUAUUGGACAAUGGGCGAAAGCCUGAUCCAGCCAUGCCGCGUGUGUGAAGAAGGUCUUCGGAUUGUAAAGCACUUUAAGUUGGGAGGAAGGGCAGUAAGCGAAUACCUUGCUGUUUUGACGUUACCGACAGAAUAAGCACCGGCUAACUCUGUGCCAGCAGCCGCGGUAAUACAGAGGGUGCAAGCGUUAAUCGGAAUUACUGGGCGUAAAGCGCGCGUAGGUGGUUCGUUAAGUUGAAUGUGAAAGCCCCGGGCUCAACCUGGGGACUGCAUCCAAAACUGGCGAGCUAGAGUAGGGCAGAGGGUGGUGGAAUUUCCUGUGUAGCGGUGAAAUGCGUAGAUAUAGGAAGGAACACCAGUGGCGAAGGCGACCACCUGGGCUCAUACUGACACUGAGGUGCGAAAGCGUGGGGAGCAAACAGGA
rnacentral:rRNA from 1 species